rnacentral:tRNA from 1 species
GGGCGAUUAGCUCAGGUGGUUAGAGCGUUACAUUGACAUUGUAAAGGCCGGAGGUUCGAGUCCCCCAUCGCCCA